UACGUAGGUGGCAAGCGUUGUCCGGAAUUAUUGGACGUAAAGCGCGCGCAGGUGGUUCUAUAAGACAGAUGUGAAAUCCCCGGGCUCAACCUGGGAACUGCAUUUGUGACUGUAGAGCUGGAGUGCGGCAGAGGGGGAUGGAAUUCCGCGUGUAGCAGUGAAAUGCGUAGAUAUGCGGAGGAACACCGAUGGCGGAAGGCAAUCCCCGUGGGCCUGCACUGACGCUCAUGCACGAAAAGCGUGGGGGAGCAAACAGG
rnacentral:rRNA from 1 species